rnacentral:rRNA from 1 species
UAUAACAGGGGAAGCUUGCUUCCCGCUGACAGCGGCGGACGGGUGAGUAUGUAUGGGGAUCUGCCCGAUAAGGGGGAUAUCCACAGGAAACGGUGGCUAAUCCCCAUAUUCUCUCAGGAGCAAAGCGGGGAACAUCUGUCCUUGCGCUAUCGGUGAACCCAUAUGGGAUUAGCUCUUAGGUGGGGUAAUGGCUCCCUAGGCGACAAUACCUACCUGGUCUGAGAGGAU